rnacentral:misc_RNA from 1 species
UACGGAGGGGGCCAGCGUUGUCCGGAAUUACUGGGCGUAAAGCGCGCGUAGGCGGCUUUGCAAGUUAGAGGUGAAAGCCCAGGGCUCAACCCUGGAAAUGCCUUUAAGACUGCAUCGCUUGAACACGGGAGAGGUGAGUGGAAUUCCUAGUGUAGAGGUGAAAUUCGUAGAUAUUAGGAAGAACACCAGUGGCGAAGGCGGCUCACUGGCUCGGUACUGACGCUGAGGCGCGAAAGCGUGGGGAGCAAACAGG